UUCCAUCGCCUGCCGUCGUGUACAAAGAUAGUCGUUGUCUGACCUCGACGAGAGCUUUUCGAUCAACUUGGUCUUUCAGUCGUCGCCGCCAAGACAUCAACCAUGCCGCCCAAGCCUCUCAAGAAGCCCAAGGCCCAGAAGAAAGAGUACGACGAGACCGAUUUGGAGAACUUGAAGAAGAAGAAAGAGGACGAGAAGGCCGUCAAGGAACUCAAGGCCAAGGCUGCGCAGAAGGGCCCGCUCGGAGGCGCCGGUCUCAAGAAGAGCGGCAAAAAGUGAUCCUGCCACUACUCUUUUUCCAAGACUUAUUAGUUAUCUGAACUUAGGAGCUUCUGAAGAAAAUGGCCGAAGAAAGCUACUUUGGAUAGUUGAUUUGGUUUCAGCGUUUGUGUAACCUUUUCCUGUACGAAUUGAGUUUUUACGACAUUUUCAUGAGCUAAAUUACAUUUUCUGUUCAUCUUUAA